UAGGGAAUCUUCCACAAUGGACGAAAGUCUGAUGGAGCAACGCCGCGUGAGUGAAGAAGGGUUUCGGCUCGUAAAACUCUGUUGUUAAAGAAGAACACGUAUGAGAGUAACUGUUCAUACGUUGACGGUAUUUAACCAGAAAGUCAUGGCUAACUACGUGCCAG
rnacentral:rRNA from 1 species